rnacentral:lncRNA from 1 species
GCCUCUGUCAGCACAGUUUUAAGUUUACUUUUUCAAGAUACUUUCAUUUGCAUUAGUUGUCUUUUAACUUGAUCUGUAUAUGAUAAUUUAAUGCUGAUGACUGUAUGAAAUGAAGUCCUAUUUUUAUAGCUCAGCAUUUGGCACUGAGGGUUUCCCAUUAUUGUGCUAUUGUAAAUUUUGAAAUUGUUAGAUUUUCCUGGAUUACACGUCUGUUAAUGUUUAUAUUCAUAUAAUUUAAAUAUCUGGUUUUAGUGAUAACGUUAGUGUUUAAAAGAUAAUAUUCUUAAUCAUUGAUAUGGGCUUUGUGAAUGUAGAAGACAUGGGAGAGAUUUGAGAAAAGAGAGUUCUGGGAUGGCUCGGAGGAGCAGCGGUUUCCUUCAGGUCCUGUUUCUUGACUUCAGAAGAAUCAAAGUUAGGAGAGCUUUAAGCUCUUUUUAAUCCCUGAUCUCUUAGUCUUGUUUUGAGGGACUUUUCAGAAUGAUCAGUCUGCUCUCCUGGAGCUUCUCUGUUCCACCUCCAGCUUUCUCCUCUGGCACACAUUGAAAUCACAGGACAGAUUAUUAACAUCUUUAUGGUCUGUCUCUGCAAAACAGCAGAGGAGGAUGAGACGACACUUUUACCACCAGUACUUAUAUAUGGCACCCUUAAGAGGAGGUUAAUUAUAGGAACUUUCUAAAGAGACGGUUGAAAAGGCCCGCAGAUCUACUGGAUGGAGACUGACGGGUGUGCCCUCCACAGGGUAUUUUCCCUCGCUGAAACUGGCUUACACCUUGUGGAGGUCUUUUUCAUUUCAUGCAAAGAAAGGUAGGUGUGUGCGGGGGGCGGGGGAUGUUUCCCCUUUGGUUACAAAGGUGACUGCAGUCUUUGGAGUCUUCUGAAAAAUGGUGAAGUGGAAUGGCAGGAAUUGCCAGAGAAGUACAGGCUGAG